GAUGAACGCUGGCGGCGUGCCUAACACAUGCAAGUCGAACGAAGCACCUUACCUAAUUCUUCGGAUGAAAGUUUGGUGACUGAGUGGCGGACGGGUGAGUAACGCGUGGGUAACCUGCCCUGUACAGGGGGAUAACAGCUGGAAACGGCUGCUAAUACCGCAUAAGCGCACGAGGAGACAUCUCCUUGUGUGAAAAACUCCGGUGGUACAGGAUGGGCCCGCGUCUGAUUAGCUGGUUGGCAGGGUAACGGCCUACCAAGGCAACGAUCAGUAGCCGGUCUGAGAGGAUGAACGGCCACAUUGGAACUGAGACACGGUCCAAACUCCUACGGGAGGCAGCAGUGGGGAAUAUUGCACAAUGGGGGAAACCCUGAUGCAGCAACGCCGCGUGAGUGAAGAAGUAUUUCGGUAUGUAAAGCUCUAUCAGCAGGGAAGAUAAUGACGGUACCUGACUAAGAAGCUCCGGCUAAAUACGUG
rnacentral:rRNA from 1 species